UGGGGAAUAUUGGACAAUGGGGGAAACCCUGAUCCAGCAAUGCCGCGUGGGUGAUGAAGGCCUUCGGGUUGUAAAGCCCUUUUGGCGGGGACGAUGAUGACGGUACCCGCAGAAGAAGCCCCGGCUAACUUCGUGCCAGCAGCCGCGGUAAUACGAAGGGGGCUAGCGUUGUUCGGAAUUACUGGGCGUAAAGGGCGCGUAGGCGGCCCCGCGCGUCGAGCGUGAAAGGCCUGGGCUCAACCCAGGAAUGGCGCUCGAUACGGCAGGGCUAGAGUGCAGGAGAGGAUGGUGGAAUUCCCAGUGUAGAGGUGAAAUUCGUAGAUAUUGGGAAGAACACCGGUGGCGAAGGCGGCCAUCUGGACUGCAACUGACGCUGAGGCGCGAAAGCGUGGGGAGCAAACAGGAUUAGAUACCCUGGUAGUCCACGCUGUAAACGAUGUGCGCUAGACGUUGGCGGACCUAGUUCGCCAGUGUCGCAGCUAACGCAUUAAGCGCACCGCCUGGGGAGUACGGCCGCAAGGUUA
rnacentral:rRNA from 1 species